UUAAUUGAAGAGUUUGAUCAUGGCUCAGAUUGAACGCUGGCGGCAGGCCUAACACAUGCAAGUCGAGCGGGGUUUUCGGACCUAGCGGCGGACGGGUGAGUAAUGCGUAGGAAGCUGCCCGAUAGAGGGGGAUACCAGUUGGAAACGACUGUUAAUACCGCAUAAUGUCUACGGACCAAAGUGUGGGACCUUCGGGCCACAUGCUAUCGGAUGCGCCUACGUGGGAUUAGCUAGUUGGUGAGGUAAUGGCUCACCAAGGCGACGAUCUCUAGCUGGUUUGAGAGGAUGAUCAGCCACACUGGAACUGAGACACGGUCCAGACUCCUACGGGAGGCAGCAGUGGGGAAUAUUGGACAAUGGGCGCAAGCCUGAUCCAGCCAUGCCGCGUGUGUGAAGAAGGCCUUCGG
rnacentral:rRNA from 1 species